rnacentral:misc_RNA from 1 species
CUCCCGCGGCGGGCCGGGUCUCCAGGGAGGACCUGAGUUUUCUUCACCCAUUGUCAGGAAGGCGCCAUCGCCCUGGCUUUUGGGGCUGGGGCCUCCGGGGAGGUUCCGGUAGGGGCGUUGGAGAGGCCCGCUCUUUUUGCAAGGCCCGAGACGGCGGGCCCUGCGCAGGCCGCCCUAUUUCCGCGCGCCCUCAGGGCGUCAGUAUCAGCCUGAGGCUGGAUACCCCCGCUGGCCCCGGAUGCCCCCGCUGGGCCCGGAGCAUCCUCCGGCGCUGCCCUCCCAGAGCCACGCAGAGGCUGAGGUGGCGCGGGGGCGGCCCCGGCUCCGCGAGAAGCGGCGGCAGCGAGGGCUGGAGGACCCGGGCUGCGGGGCUCCGGGGCGUCUGGCCUGGGUGGGACUGAGCCCAUCCAGGGACUGGGACUCUGGGAUUCUGGUGUAGGUGGAUCCGGGGCAGGCUCAGGACCAAGUCCCUCUCCUUCCACCAAGGAGCGCCCAGAGGCCGGCGGGAGCUCCAGGUUCACCUCCUCCUCCUCCAGGAAAUCCCACUUCCAGCUAGAUGUCUGCAUGAACUACUGAAAGCUGCUGAGUGUCUUGCAGCAGGUGAGCUGUGGCCAGAGCUCAAGGAUGAAGGGGACUCCCUCACUGUGUGACUGUGAAGAGGAAGCCUGAGGUGUAGCAGGCCCAGGCCCCAGAAGUAUGGAAAAAAUGAGGCCAUUUUCAAUCCAGAGGAAGACCUUCUAAAAGAGGUGAUGGAUGGGAGAGUGCUGACAUACUAUGUGAAGCUACUAUUUGGAGUUGGACACGAGUGCAUGUGACCUUGUGCCACAGCGGGAAUGUGAGCUGGGUGACAAAUGGAGAUUUGGACUUGUGAUAAUUGGCCUCUGUGUCAUUGUGUGGAAGACUGACUGGUCCCUUUAUUUCCUGUAGCUUGACUACCACACAAAUGAAUCCAUUCAAAUGUUGGCAAGUGGAGCAGAGUCCCAGGACAGGUACAGAAACACCCCCAGUUCAAGAAUCUUCACAUCUGAAUUUAGUCCUACACCUGCAACUACCCCAGCUACUUACACCAAGAUGAAGAUAAUUUAUUAGUUCAGGAAGAAUCUCCAUUCUGAAGGCAAAUAGAAGUUCCAGCUACAGAUGGGCAGACACAUGCCCUCUCAAUUCCUGAUGGACCUCCUUGUGCCUCCUGGACCUAAGGGGCCUCCCUCAAUGUUUCAAGAUGCCACCAAGGCAGGGAUCAGCUCGUGCAUUCCUGAGAACAUCCAGGAUGAAAUGAGGCUCUGGAAAAAUGCAAGAGUUUCCACAUAAUCCCAAAAAACCCUACAGGUGAACUGGAUGCCACAGAAAGAGGAGUGGUCUUUGACACAACAAAAUCAACAAAAUUAUUUCGAAGUCAAUUAGGAAACUCAGAAAUCACUCUUGCUGUCAUUAAGAGGAAGAACAGGAGCCUGUGAAUGGCAUCCCUGGCCUUCCCCAGACUCCACAGAUAUUUCUAUGUGGCUUCAGACAACAGAAAUCUCUGUGAUUUUCAGAAAGGCAGGGACAGCUCAUGCCAGCCCAUCCCUCUGCAGAAUGUGUCCCAGCAGAUCAGUGGCAUGGAACCAUCAUGGACAGCACAAAGGCUCAAGGGCAGCAUCCCAGGCCGGCCUGUGACUCUAGAUAAGUUCUGAGUCCCCAUGGGGGCUCAGGAAAGGUUAGUGAUGACCUGGAAAGAAGGGACUGGCUGAAACCUCCCCUAAGCAAUCUGCAGGAUUCCAACUUCAGCAGGAAGCCAAGGACCAGCUCGUACCACAACGGCUCCCCCUGAAAACGCUGGAUACAAUCCCACUCUGCAGAAAGUUCCACAUAGAAGUGGCUGGGAAUUUUGCCUUCUAGACUGCAUUUUACAGUGCCUCUGGACAUGUGAUGAGAAAGUUAACAUUGGUGUAUCUAGCUCUGACAUAUUUCACGAAGCGAUUUUUAAAAAUGUGGUAAAAAAGACAAAAUAUAAUUGAAACAUAUGCAUUAUAUGUCAGAGUAUGCUUCGCUGGCAUCAAGUAGACUCACCUUGAGAUACAAUCUUGGACAACCUCCAUCUUCAGAAUAUCUACUUUUUCAAAGAGAAACUCUCCAACCAAAAAUCAAUAACAUCAAAAGUUUGCAACUACAAGCCGACAGAAAAUAAAUACAGGAAUUCUACCACAGUGAAUUGGACCGCACUGGGAAACACAGAUGAAGAAAGUCAACACCGCUUUGUCCAUCAGUGCCUGGCUCCCUUUUCAGCUCGUCUUGAGACUCCAGGCAUUAUGCCUGAAAAGUCUCCCGGACGCCUGUGAGGCUCUAAUUCCCUGGGUCCCAUUGCCAUGUCUCUGGAUUUGCGAAGAUCCACCUGACCAUCUGUGGAACUCCCGUGUCCCUAUACUUUUGUGCCACGGCCCCUAAUUCUGCCCAUGGUCAUCUGCACCUGCACGACUUAGGGUCCAUGUUCCUUGGACAGGAAGAGACAGGCAGGAGUCGGAAUGAUGAACCAGCACACUGGGGCGUUUUCUCAUGUAGCCCAAGUGACCCCAUGAUCUUCUCGGGCUUUGGAACCAGUCGCGUCCCCUUUGACACUGCACCCGGCUCCCAGUCUCUCAAUCUUGUUGGCCCUCCGCCGAUCUCCCGUUGCAUGAAUUGCACCUGCUAAAACUCGAGUCCCCUUUGAUUUGCGCUUCAUUAAUUAUUCAUGAUUCAGGUUGGAAGGCCUGCUGACGACCCCCUGUGGCUCGUCGUUCUCUGAGCUUUCCUGUCACAUCGUUUCCUUCCACGCUCUUUGGUUCCUUAUGGUCCUGCUCCUUCUGCUGUCAGAGGAGCAGAGAGUUGAUCUUAUUGAUUCUGGAUACGGAUACUUUCUAGGUGAUCUGGAUAAUCAAGAUAACGACCCUCAACAGCGGCGGAAAGGGAGCAGCCAGUUGGUGUGUCUCAGAAAAUCCCGCUGAGUUCCGAGGCCUCCUAGAUGUGGAAUCCUGCUGAGAGUUGUUCCCAGGUCAGAGAAUGGAGAGAGCCUGUGCAUGAUGGGAUAUCCCUGCCUAGAUCUUUCAAUGAGUCUCUACCUCAGCUACUCUUAGGAUCAGGGGGAGAAGCAUGGAAAGGCCCGGUGUCAGACAUCCGGAACGACGUGAUGAAUGUUUUACCUCUGAAGUACAUCCCAAAUCUGGGAGUUAACUUCAGGUUUGCUGGGGUCUACUUGGCCAGUGAAACUCUGCCUGGUUCAUUCGCACAUCCGGAAGCCACUUCACGGGGGGCCGUCGCAACUGGAACCACACACUUGGCAUCGGCGGUUGAGCCAAAUGGGGACUCGUGGUGCAAGCAACGCUCCCCACGUGUUAGCGUGCGUGAGAUUCGGUUGGCGGAAUUUUACUAGGUGCGUGUUUGUAGAGUGGGGCUGAGGUUUUCUUGCUCCUGCGGAUGUAUAGGAAGUCAAAGCACCUGCCCAGCCCUGCGGUCCCCUCAGUCAACUCUGUUUCGGAGACAUAACGAUUUGGAUUGCUAACAGGUCAAGAAACUUUCAAGCCCUUGGAUGUAGGCAAAAGAAAGAGAGAUCAGACUGUCACUGUGUCUAUGUAGAAAGGGAAAACAAAGAGACUCCAUUUUGAAAAAGACCUGUACUUUAAACAAUUGCUUUGCUGAGAUGUUGUUCAUUUGUAGCUUUUCCCCAGCCGCUUUGCCCCAGCCGCUUUGACCCAACUUGGAGCUCACAAAAACCUGUGUUGUAUAAAAUCAAGGUUUAAGGGAUCUAGGGCCGUGCAGGACGUGCCUUGUUAACCAAAUGUUUACAAGCAGUAUACUUGGUAAAAGUCAUGGCCAUUCUCUAGUCUCAAUAAACCAGGGGCACAAUGCACCGUGGAAAGCCUCAGGGACCUCUGCCCUUGAAAGCAGGGUAUUGUCCAACGUUUCUCCCCAUGCGAUGGUCUGAAAUAUGGCCUCGUGGGAUGAGAAA